rnacentral:rRNA from 1 species
AGUCGAUAGUAUAUAUUAUCGGUGGUUUCUGCCCAGUGUUUGUAUUAACGGCCGCAGUACCUUGACUGUGCUAAGGUAGCAUAAUCAAUUGACUAUUAAUUGUAGUCUGGAAUGAAAGGAAGAAUGAAUAGGGACUAUAACAAAUAAUAUUAUUUUAAUUUAUUUAUUAGGUGAAAAUACCUAUAUUAAGAAAAAAGACGAGAAGACCCUUAGAGUUUUAAAGAGAGGAAUAUUUUAUUUCUUAUUUUUUGUUGGGGCGACAAGAAAACAUUAAAACUUUUCUAGUUAUAAAUAUAAAUAUGACGAAUUUUUUAUGUAUAAGUAAACUACCUUAGGGAUAACAGCAUAAUGAUAAAUAUUAGUUUGUGACCUCGAUGUUGGACUAGGAACUUUAACACUAACAGUGUUAAAAGAUUGUUCUGUUCGAACAUUUAACUCC